UGUCUGUUUUCUUAUGUAGAAAUUAUAUGUCUCUUGUCCGUUUUCUUAUGUAGAAAUUAUCUGCGUGCAAUGUGUGGCAGUCAGUCAACCUUUUUCAGCAUGGGCAAGGUCAUGUGCUAGGUUUUUAUUUAUAAAAACUGUUGGAUGCUUUAAAUAACAAGAAAUUAUCAUUGAAGCAAAUAGUUUUUAGAAGGCUAGUAUUAAGAACAAGCCAAUUUUUGAACAGGUAAAAGUUGGAUUCACUGAUUGCAGAUUUUAUCAGGAUGCUAGGCUGAGGCUAAUUGUCAUGGGUGAAAACUGAGUAAUAAGAACUAAAUGAAAAAUGGUUCCUAUUAUGGAGAACAGAAAAUUUAAAAAUAAGCCAAAUGGGAGCAUUGGGUUUCUCUUUCAUGCUUGCAUGAUUCUUUGUGUACAUUUAUUCACUAUUUAGCAUUUACCCAUACUUAUUUAUGGGUGAUUGGGGUCCUCUACAGGUACGUGUCACAAAUUUGCAUG
rnacentral:misc_RNA from 1 species